rnacentral:rRNA from 1 species
GAAAGAGUUCCUGAAACCAUGUGCCUACAAGCAGUCGGAGCCCGUUAAAGGGUGACGGCGUGCCUCUUGCAGAAUGAACCGGCGAGUUAUGAUUGCAUGCAAGGUUAAGACGGAAAAGUCGGAGCCGUAGCGAAAGCGAGUCUUAAAUGGGCGUAAGAAGUAUGUAGUUAUAGACCCGAAACCAGGUGACCUACCCAUGUCCAGGUUGAAGGUGCGGUAAAGCGCACUGGAGGACCGAACCCGUGUCAGUUGAAAAUGGCUGGGAUGAGGUGUGGGUAGCGGUGAAAUUCCAAACGAACUUGGAGAUAGCUGGUUCUCUCCGAAAUCUCUUUAGGGGGAGCCUUGAGGACAAGAAUCAUGGAGGUAGAGCUACUGUUUGGACAAGGGGCCCGUCAUGGGUUACCAACUUCAGAUAAACUCCGAAUGCCAUAGAUUUAUACUCAGGAGUCAGACGAUGAGUGAUAAGAUCCACCGUCGAAAGGGGAACAGCCCAGAUCACCAGUUAAGGUCCCUAAAUAUAUGCUAAGUGGAAAAGGAUGUGGAGUUGCAUAGACAACUAGGAUGUUGGCUCAGAAGCAGCCACCAUUUAAAGAGUGCGUAAUAGCUCACUAGUCGAGUGAUCCUGCGCCGAAAAUGUACCGGGGCUAAGCAUAUUACCGAAACUGUGGAUGUGCACUACGUGCACGUGAUAGGAGAGCGUUCUAAGGGCGGCGAAGUCAGACCGUGAGGACUGGUGGAGCGCUUAGAAGUGAGAAUGCCGGUAUGAGUAGCGAAAGACAGGUGAGAAUCCUGUCCACCGAAUGACUAAGGUUUCCUGGGGAAGGCUCGUCCUCCCAGGGUAAGUCGGGACCUAAGCCGAGGCCGAAAGGCGUAAGCGAUGGCUAACAGGUUGAGAUUCCUGUACCAGUUGAAUGCGUUUGAAUGAUGGAGGGACGCAGGAGGCUAAGCGAACCGCACGAUUGGAAGAGUGCGGCCAAGCAGCAAGUCAGUAACUGAGUCAAAUGCUUAGUUGCGGGUUGACAAGCUGUGAUGGGGAGUGAAAUUAAAGUAACGAAGUCGCCGAUGUCACACUGCCGAGAAAAGCUUCUAGUGAGUAUUCAACUGCCCGUACCGCAAACCGACACAGGUAGUCGAGGAGAGAAUCCUAAGGUGAGCGAGUGAACUCUCGUUAAGGAACUCGGCAAAAUGACCCCGUAACUUCGGAAGAAGGGGUGCUGGCCGCAAGGCCAGCCGCAGUGAAAAGGCCCAGGCGACUGUUUAUCAAAAACACAGGUUUCUGCAAAAUCGUAAGAUGAAGUAUAGGGGCUGACGCCUGCCCGGUGCUGGAAGGUUAAAAGGAUGGGUUAGCUUCGGCGAAGCUCAGAAUUGAAGCCCCAGUAAACGGCGGCCGUAACUAUAACGGUCCUAAGGUAGCGAAAUUCCUUGUCGGGUAAGUUCCGACCCGCACGAAAGGCGUAACGAUCUGGGCACUGUCUCAACGAGAGACUCGGUGAAAUUGAAAUCCCUGUGAAGAUGCAGGGUACCCGCGACAGGACGGAAAGACCCCAUGGAGCUUUACUGUAGCUUGAUAUUGAGUGUUUGUACUGCUUGUACAGGAUAGGUAGGAGCCGUAGAAAGCGGAACGCUAGUUUCGCUAGAGGCGCUGGUGGGAUACUACCCUUGCAUUAUGACCACUCUAACCCGCAGCACUGAACGUGCUGGGAGACAGUGUCAGGUGGGCAGUUUGACUGGGGCGGUCGCCUCCUAAAAGGUAACGGAGGCGCCCAAAGGUUCGCUCAGAAUGGUUGGAAAUCAUUCGGAGAGUGUAAAGGCACAAGCGAGCUUGACUGCGAGACAGACAGGUCGAGCAGGGACGAAAGUCGGGCUUAGUGAUCCGGUGGUUCCGCAUGGAAGGGCCAUCGCUCAACGGAUAAAAGCUACCCUGGGGAUAACAGGCUUAUCUCCCCCAAGAGUCCACAUCGACGGGGAGGUUUGGCACCUCGAUGUCGGCUCAUCGCAUCCUGGGGCUGUAGUCGGUCCCAAGGGUUGGGCUGUUCGCCCAUUAAAGCGGUACGCGAGCUGGGUUCAGAACGUCGUGAGACAGUUCGGUCCCUAUCCGUCGCGGGCGUAGGAAAUUUGAGAGGAGCUGUCCUUAGUACGAGAGGACCGGGAUGGAC